AGCAGUGUUUUACUUUCCCCAUCAAAAAAUAAAACAAAAAUGAACAAGUUACUAACUUUAAGGCAAGUGCCUCAGUUUGCCUCAUAUUGGCUUCAAACCUGCGUGGAUUGCCUCCGUCUGUUGAAAUUAACACUAUUAGUUUUGCUUUAUGCUCUCAGCCCUGGUUAUUCAUGAUAGUGAUACUGAUAUUCCCAUCAUUGCAAGUACUGUUUUGAACUUGAUUUGUAGAAAUACCUUUUUAAAUGAAACAUACUCAACUGACAUUACACUUGCUGUGCACAGCACAUUCAACUUUUGAGAGAUUGUCAACUUAGUUUUUACCUGUAUCACGCUUGUAACUCUUUUAAUGUGCAGUUCCAGAAAAUAUCCAUGCCCACCCCGAGGAAUGUUAAGUGAUAACACAAAUAAGAAGGGAGAGGGGAGCUUUCAAAAGCCAAAAUUUUUAAAGGACAUUAUGAAGCUAAACUGGAAUUUUCAGGGCCUGGGGGGGCUCAAACUAGAAAACCUUCUGUGGGAGGAGCAUGAAUAUUUUCUGAAACAACCCAAUUUAGGAAGUUUUGAAUAUAGUGUUUGGGCAUACACAUAGCUGGGACCACGACAAAGAGCAUAUAAGGGCUGUCCACUGCUACAAGGUGGCUCUUUGCAAAGGUUUGACUGUACAUGUUCUUUGAAGUGACAAUAACUCUUCAGCUGAGCCUUUUAGAACAAAGUUAUUUGUUUUCUGUUCAACUUCAAACGAUGCGGAGGGAUCAAAGCAGUUGAAGUACAAAUGCAAUACCACAAAAACACUGGAAAUGUCCAGGGUUUUCCUGGUGGAAAAGGAAAAGGAAAAAGAAAAAGAACAGAUACCUGGUCCUUCAAGUGGUGCAGAUACACAACAAGAAACUACAGAUUCAGAAGGAUAACAAGAUCAGGAGAAAUCUGUUUGUUGUGUUGUUAAUUUGAGAGACCAUGACCUCUGGAUUGCUGUUCAGCGGAUUGUGCAGUCCAACUUGCAAAGAACUGUUUGAUCUAAACUGAGGCGCCACAGUUAGAAAUUACUGUAAGAGAAGUACAAUUUUUGUUUUGCUUGAUAUUGAACAGCAAGAAGGACGCAGGAAUUGAAAAAAAAUGCCAUCCAGUCAUCCGGGACAAGUAGAUUUUCCUAGACUGGGCAAGUAACUUUUCAUUUUCUUGGGCAAGGGUCUUAGCAACUCGUCUGCCAACUAAAUGAAAGAAGUUAGCACAGUUUGACUCUACAAAGGAGUGAAAGGUGAUCAGAGUGAUAUCGUUAACUUGUUCCAGGACUAAGACCUGUUUGACUUUUAUUGUGAAGUGUAAGCAAAAAUAGAUCAAUGACAUUGCCAUUUUACAGUUGUGUGAUCUUAAGAACAUUUAAUACAACUGCUUACAAUAUCACUUAUUCAAUACAUUGUCAGGCAGACAAGUACAGCUGUAAUAAGAUCAUCAACUAGGGAUAAUGUCUAGAUGUUCCAUUACUGAAUUCUCAAGAUUAGUAUUAGAAGAAAUGUAUGGAAAUCUGUUAGGAGAAUUGAUAUUUCACCUCAUGAUUCCAAGCACACAUUUUUUGUUCUUAAAACAUUUUUGAGUUAGUAUACUUUCAAUAUGAUUACAGCAUUAGAGGUAAAAUUACAUUGGCGUAACUAGCCCUCAUAGCAUUAUUGUUAAUAUAUUAAUCUAUUUUUGGAUAAAAAAGAAUAUCUGAACUGUUAAAAUAAUUUAGCAUACAGUAUUACAUGUACCACCCACUUAUAGUACACCACAUUGGACUACAUCAUUUAGAAACAAAGACAAAUACUUUUAGUGAAUAAGAAAACUUGAUUAAAAAAA